rnacentral:rRNA from 1 species
UACGGGGGGGGCAAGCGUUGUUCGGAAUUACUGGGCGUAAAGGGCUCGUAGGCGGCCAACUAAGUCAGACGUGAAAUCCCUCGGCUUAACCGGGGAACUGCGUCUGAUACUGGAUGGCUUGAGUUUGGGAGAGGGAUGCGGAAUUCCAGGUGUAGCGGUGAAAUGCGUAGAUAUCAGGAAGAACACCCGUGGCGAAGGCGGCUCUCUGGGGACGGUACUGACGCUGAGACGCGAAAGCGUGGGGAGCGAACAGG